AUGGCCUCCUCCUCCUCCUCCUCCUACAUGCCCCUCAGGAGGUCCGACAGCGUCGCCGACAUGAUGCCCGAGGCGCUGCGCCAGAGCCGCUACCAGAUGAAGAGGUGCUUCCAAAGGUAUGUCUCCAAGGGCAGGAGGCUGAUGAGGAACCAGCAGCUGAUGGAGGAGCUGGAGGCGUCGGCGGGCGACGACAAGCCCGAGAAGGCCAGGCUCGCCGAGGGCUUCCUCGGCUACGUCAUCUGCUCCACGCAGGAGGCCGUCGUGCUCCCUCCCCUCGUCGCCUUCGCCGUCCGGACCAACCCCGGCGUCUGGGAGUUCAUCAGGGUGCACUCCGGGGACCUCUCCGUCGAGGAGAUCACGCCAUCCGCUUACCUCAAGUGCAAGGAGACCCUCUACGACGAAAAAUGGGCGCGCGACGACAACUCGCUGGAGGUCGAUUUCGGCGCGCUGGACCUCUCCACGCCUCAUCUGACGCUGCCGUCGUCCAUCGGCAACGGGAUGCAGUUCGUCUCCCGGUUCAUGUCGUCAAAGCUGAGCGGCAAGCCGGAGAGCAUGAAGCCGCUGCUGGACUACCUGCUAAAUCUGAACUACCGCGGCGAGAAACUGAUGAUCAGCGACACCAUCGACACCGCCGACAAGCUUCAGACAGCAUUGCUUCUUGCAGAGGUCUUCGUCGCAGGCCUGGAGAAGAGCACACCUUACCAGAAUUUUGAACAAAAGUUUCAGGAGUGGGGAUUGGAGAAGGGGUGGGGUGACACUGCCGAAACAUGCAGAGAAACACUCAACUUCCUCUCCGAAGUGCUCCAGGCGCCGGAUCCGAUCAACAUGGAGAAGUUCUUCAGCAGGGUGCCGUCGGUGUUCAGCAUCGUGAUCUUCUCCAUCCACGGUUACUUUGGUCAAGAGAAGGUCCUUGGGUUGCCGGAUACCGGCGGUCAGGUAGUUUACAUCCUGGACCAAGUUAGAGCUCUUGAAGAGGAAUUGUUGCAAAGAAUCAAGCGGCAGGGCCUGAAUGUUACCCCGAAGAUUCUUGUGUUAACAAGACUCAUACCGGACGCAAAGGGAACCAAGUGCAACGUUGAGCUUGAACCGGUCGAGCACACGAAGCACUCGAGCAUCCUCCGCGUGCCAUUCAAGACUGAUGAUGGGAAAGAUCUUCGCCAGUGGGUCUCCCGGUUUGACAUUUACCCUUACCUGGAGAGAUAUGCCCAGGAUUCUUCUGUCAAGAUUCUUGACAUACUUGAGGGGAAGCCAGACAUGGUCAUCGGCAAUUACACCGAUGGCAAUCUAGUAGCAUCCCUCUUGUCGAGCAAACUCGGGGUCACCCAGGGAACAAUUGCACAUGCUCUUGAGAAGACAAAGUACGACGAUUCGGAUGUCAAGUGGAGAGAAAUGGAUCACAAGUACCAUUUCUCCUGCCAGUUCACUGCCGACAUGAUCGCCAUGAACACUAGCGACUUCAUCAUCGCUAGCACCUACCAAGAAAUAGCCGGAAGCAAAGACAAACCUGGGCAGUAUGAGAGCCACUACGCCUUCACAAUGCCAGGGCUGUGUCGCUACGCCACAGGCGUCAACGUCUUCGAUCCCAAGUUCAACAUCGCCGCCCCUGGCGCUGAUCAAUCCGUUUACUUUCCAUUCACACAAAAGCAGGCUCGGCUGACAGACUUGCACCCCCAAAUCGAGGAGCUACUCUACAGCAAGGAGGACAAUGAUGAGCACUUAGGGUACCUAGGGGACAGAAGCAAGCCAAUCAUCUUCUCGAUGGCAAGGCUCGACAAGGUGAAGAACAUUACCGGGCUGGUCGAAUGGUAUGGUGAGAACAGGAAGCUCAGGGACCUUGUCAACCUGGUCAUCGUUGGGGGGCUCCUGGAACCUUCACAGUCAAACGACAGAGAAGAGAUCGAGGAGAUCAACAAGAUGCACAGCUUGAUGGACAAGUACCAGCUCAAGGGACAGAUCCGCUGGAUCAAAGCACAGACCGAGCGCGUGCGCAACGGCGAGCUGUACCGUUGCAUUGCAGAUACCAGGGGGGCCUUCGUUCAGCCUGCACUCUAUGAGGCAUUUGGACUAACGGUCAUCGAGGCGAUGAACUGCGGGCUGCCAACCUUUGCAACAAAUCAAGGAGGACCAGCGGAAAUCAUCGUCAAUGAGGUUUCGGGUUUCCACAUCAACCCGCUCAACGGCAAGGAGGCAAGCGACAAGAUAGCAGCCUUCUUUCAGAAAUGCAAGGAGGACCCCACCUACUGGAACAAGAUGUCCACUGCCGGACUCCAGCGCAUCUAUGAGUGUUACACGUGGCAGAUUUACGCGACUAAAGUUCUGAACAUGGGGUCGAUGUACGGCUUCUGGAGGACUCUGAACAAGGAAGAGAGGCAGGCCAAACAGCUCUACCUACAGAUGUUCUACAACCUUCAGUUCAGGCAGCUGGUCAAGACUGUCCCUAAGGUAGGCGAACAACCCGCACGGCCUACGGCGGGAAGCACGGCGCCUGCUAGGAUUGCACCGAGGCCAAGAGAAAGAAGGCCGCAGACGAGGAUUCAGAGGAUCGCGACCAGCUUACUCGGCCCGGUGCUCCCGACGUCCAACUUCUCCCAGGAUGCAGCCUGA
rnacentral:rRNA from 1 species